AACCAUUCUCACCUGCGGCUAGACCUGCGGAGGGAUCAUUACACAAUACAAUAUGAAGGCUGUCCGCAGCUGGAGUAUUUUAUUACCCUUGUCUUUUGCGCACUUGUUGUUUCCUGGGCGGGUUCGCUCGCCACCAGGACCACCAAAUAAACCUUUUUUAUGCAGUUGCAAUCAGCGUCAGUACAAACAAUGUAAAUCAUUUACAACUUUCAACAAUGGAUCUCAGAUCGGAAGAGCACA
rnacentral:misc_RNA from 1 species